rnacentral:rRNA from 1 species
GUCGAGCGGACAGAUGGGAGCUUGCUCCCUGAUGUUAGCGGCGGACGGGUGAGUAACACGUGGGUAACCUGCCUGUAAGACUGGGAUAACUCCGGGAAACCGGGGCUAAUACCGGAUGGUUGUUUGAACCGCAUGGUUCAAACAUAAAAGGUGGCUUCGGCUACCACUUACAGAUGGACCCGCGGCGCAUUAGCUAGUUGGUGAGGUAACGGCUCACCAAGGCAACGAUGCGUAGCCGACCUGAGAGGGUGAUCGGCCACACUGGGACUGAGACACGGCCCAGACUCCUACGGGAGGCAGCAGUAGGGAAUCUUCCGCAAUGGACGAAAGUCUGACGGAGCAACGCCGCGUGAGUGAUGAAGGUUUUCGGAUCGUAAAGCUCUGUUGUUAGGGAAGAACAAGUACCGUUCGAAUAGGGCGGUACCUUGACGGUACCUAACCAGAAAGCCACGGCUAACUACGUGCCAGCAGCCGCGGUAAUACGUAGGUGGCAAGCGUUGUCCGGAAUUAUUGGGCGUAAAGGGCUCGCAGGCGGUUUCUUAAGUCUGAUGUGAAAGCCCCCGGCUCAACCGGGGAGGGUCAUUGGAAACUGGGGAACUUGAGUGCAGAAGAGGAGAGUGGAAUUCCACGUGUAGCGGUGAAAUGCGUAGAGAUGUGGAGGAACACCAGUGGCGAAGGCGACUCUCUGGUCUGUAACUGACGCUGAGGAGCGAAAG